GAUGAACGCUGGCGGCGUGCCUAAUACAUGCAAGUCGAGCGAACAGACGAGGAGCUUGCUCCUCUGACGUUAGCGGCGGACGGGUGAGUAACACGUGGAUAACCUACCUAUAAGACUGGGAUAACUUCGGGAAACCGGAGCUUAUACUGGAUAAUAUAUUGAACCGCAUGGUUCAAUAGUGAAAGACGGUUUUGCUGUCACUUAUAGAUGGAUCCGCGCCGCAUUAGCUAGUUGGUAAGGUAACGGCUUACCAAGGCAACGAUGCGUAGCCGACCUGAGAGGGUGAUCGGCCACACUGGAACUGAGACACGGUCCAGACUCCUACGGGAGGCAGCAGUAGGGAAUCUUCCGCAAUGGGCGAAAGCUUGACGGAGCAACGCCGCGUGAGUGAUGAAGGUCUUCGGAUCGUAAAACUCUGUUAUUUGGGAAGAACAAAUGUGUAAGUAACUAUGCACGUCUUGACGGUACCUAAUCAGAAAGCCACGGCUAACUACGUG
rnacentral:rRNA from 1 species